rnacentral:tRNA from 4 species
GCCCACAUAGCUCAGUUGGUAGAGCGCAUCCUUGGUAAGGAUGAGGUCACCAGUUCGACUCUGGUUGUGGGCUCCA